UAGUAAAGUCAGCUAACUAAGCU
rnacentral:tRNA from 1 species